GAUUAGUGGCGAACGGGUGAGUAAUACGUGAGUAACCUGCCCUUGACUCUGGGAUAAGCCUGGGAAACUGGGUCUAAUACUGGAUACUACCUCUUACCGCAUGGUGGGUGGUGGAAAGGGUUUUACUGGUUUUGGAUGGGCUCACGGCCUAUCAGCUUGUUGGUGGGGUAAUGGCUCACCAAGGCGACGACGGGUAGCCGGCCUGAGAGGGUGACCGGCCACACUGGGACUGAGACACGGCCCAGACUCCUACGGGAGGCAGCAGUGGGGAAUAUUGCACAAUGGGCGGAAGCCUGAUGCAGCGACGCCGCGUGAGGGAUGACGGCCUUCGGGUUGUAAACCUCUUUCAGUAGGGAAGAAGCGAGAGUGACGGUACCUGCAGAAGAAGCGCCGGCUAACUACGUGCCAGCAGCCGCGGUAAUACGUAGGGCGCAAGCGUUGUCCGGAAUUAUUGGGCGUAAAGAGCUCGUAGGCGGUUUGUCGCGUCUGCUGUGAAAGCCCGGGGCUCAACCCCGGGUCUGCAGUGGGUACGGGCAGACUAGAGUGCAGUAGGGGAGACUGGAAUUCCUGGUGUAGCGGUGAAAUGCGCAGAUAUCAGGAGGAACACCGAUGGCGAAGGCAGGUCUCUGGGCUGUUACUGACGCUGAGCAGAUAUCAGGAGGAACACCGAUGGCGAAGGCAGGUCUCUGGGCUGUUACUGACGCUGAGGAGCGAAAGCAUGGGGAGCGAACAGGAUUAGAUACCCUGGUAGUCCAUGCCGUAAACGUUGGGCACUAGGUGUGGGGGACAUUCCACGUUUUCCGCGCCGUAGCUAACGCAUUAAGUGCCCCGCCUGGGGAGUACGGCCGCAAGGCUAAAACUCAAAGGAAUUGACGGGGGCCCGCACAAGCGGCGGAGCAUGCGGAUUAAUUCGAUGCAACGCGAAGAACCUUACCAAGGCUUGACAUUCACCGGACCGCCCCAGAGAUGGGGUUUCCCUUCGGGGCUGGUGGACAGGUGGUGCAUGGUUGUCGUCAGCUCGUGUCGUGAGAUGUUGGGUUAAGUCCCGCAACGAGCGCAACCCUCGUUCUAUGUUGCCAGCACGUGAUGGUGGGGACUCAUAGGAGACUGCCGGGGUCAACUCGGAGGAAGGUGGGGAUGACGUCAAAUCAUCAUGCCCCUUAUGUCUUGGGCUUCACGCAUGCUACAAUGGCCGGUACAAAGGGUUGCGAUACUGUGAGGUGGAGCUAAUCCCAAAAAGCCGGUCUCAGUUCGGAUUGAGGUCUGCAACUCGACCUCAUGAAGUCGGAGUCGCUAGUAAUCGCAGAUCAGCAACGCUGCGGUGAAUACGUUCCCGGGCCUUGUACACACCGCCCGUCAAGUCACGAAAGUUGGUAACACC
rnacentral:rRNA from 1 species